UUCACAGAAGUUUAACUUUGAUGACAAUUCACAUGAUUUAGCUGCGUUCUUUAACAGAGAACAGAAUGAUUGUAACUUUGUUGAAACAGAAGCGCUGUAACUAACUUACUGUUAAGAGGAGUUGUCUGAGUGGAGAAAAACAAGUCACUGGAGUGUGACCUAGAAGGCCCUGUCUUCCUCCCUGCUACUCCUUUUCCCUCCAUGUGGGCAGCUUUUCCAGUCCAGCCUUCUCUACUGUUCUGUUUCUUCUCUGGAGCUUGCAGACAGACCAUAGCCUGAAACAUGCGCUAAAGCAAACCUGAAGUCCUAAAAGCAGAAUUUCCUCAUCCUGGUGCUUUUGGUGACCACGCAAUUAAGACCAUUUCGUGCGAAGCUUAUGAAAGAGAGGAUGAGCAGGAGAAGCACACAUGCUCCAUUCGACUCAGCCCGCUGUGCGCCUCCAACAAUGUCACGUACCCUAAUUCCUGCGUGUUCUGCUUUGCCAACAUAGCUUUGAAUAAUACUCUUACAAUUCGAUAUGGAGGAAUAUGCAGAAAAGAACCAAAAUCUUCAAUAUGAGAUGAGUUUUCUUCAUUCGUGAUGAACGAAACCUCUUGAACUAAGUAUUGUCUUUCCUUCGUAAAGUGGAAUUUGUUGUGUUGUCUUAUUUUUUCUAAACAAUAAAAAUUUUCCUGUG